GCCCGCGCGCGCCCGCCCCGGGAGGAGGGUGCGCGGCGGAGGCGCGGGGGGGGGGGGGAGUCGAGGAGGGGCCGCGCCCGGUCCUCGCCCGCAGCGGGCACCGCCGGGGGCCCCGGGAGGCCUUGUUGGUAUUCCGGGCACAGCAGAAGCCCUGACCUCCCCGCGGAACAGGGGCGCCCGGGAGCGCGGCGCGGCCGCCGCCCCCGGGCGGUCUCCCCGGACUGCGGGGCCGUAGGCGCCUUGCUCCCCCUCCUCCCUGUCCCCUCCUCUCCAGGUCCCCCGUACCCCCUCCCCCGGCCUGAUCCGGCGGCGAAGGGGUGGGCAGGGAAACGCGCUCUCUGGGACAGGUGCCAACUCCGAGACAAAAGACAUAAAAUAGGCGGCAACGGGGGAAGCGCGGCCGGCGCGCUCGGGCGGGGACGGAGGCGCCGCGGGGGCCGCAUCCUCGGUGCCGACCGGGGAAAGUUUGGGAAGUCGCCGCGGCGGCUUCGCAGCGGCGGGGGACACGCGGGCCGGGCCGCCCUCCGCGCCGCGCUCGCCCUCUCCGCGCCGCUGCUGAAUAAUUCAUGGCGCGGCCGCCGGCCAUUAGCAUGCACCGGGCGCGCGGCGCGUCUGUGCCCAGCCGUCGCCGCCGCAUUCGGCGCCCCGGCCGCGCUAGACGAGCGGCCGCGCAGAGGCCGGGCCCGCGCCGUCCCCGCGCUCGCCCGCCCGUCCGCCCGUCCGCCCACCCGGCGGCUCCCAUUGUGCCCCAGGCCCGCGCCGCUCCGCCGUCCUGUGACCGCCUGCGCCCCGCAGCGCGCCCGACGGCCGGCCGCUGGAAGUUCGGGCCCGCGGCGCACGCCCUGCCGCCCCGGGAUGCACGUGAACUUGGAGAAAGUCUCGGGGCGCGCCGGCGCAGACCUCCGCGGCAGGGCGUGGGCGCCCCUGGCCCCGCGCGCUUUCGUUUUCGUCUGGGACAAAGGUCCCUCGCGGCGCAGGUCGCGGACGUGGAGGCAGUGCCCUGCGGGCCACUCAGCGGGGAGGUCCGGUCGUUCAGUCAAGGGAAGCCGGAGCCUGGAGAAGACGAGCCGCGCGGUCGGAGGCGCGGUGCGGGACCAGGACAGUGGGGCCUGGCCGUGCGCUUCGCCCUGGCGGUCCAGGAGCUGUCUCGCCCUCCGAAGAGUUACGGGAGGUGGCACUGCUUUUGCUCUCUGCCCUUUCGACACGUGAAGGAGAGAAUCAUUCGGAACCCAGGACUCAGACCGGUGGCCGAGGGCCUGUGCAGCCGCGAGCACGACAGCGCAGCGCUGGCCGCGUCCGCGCGCGUUCCUCCGACAAGGGCAGAGCAGUCGACCAGCGCGCCCCAGUCUCGAUCGGGUUCAAGGCGACUCUUGAGGACGAAGGCGGCUGGUCCCAGAGCAUCUCGGAGAAAGCGGACGCCUGUCUUGGCCUUUGGAAGACGCUCAAGGACCACGUGGCCGGGUCCACGGUCUCUGCCCUGCGCCUCGAGGGCGAGGCAGCCCAGGUCUUGCCCUUCUUGCCGUCCACUUCGCCCCCAGCCGACGCCUGGAGCUUGAGGUGACUGAGCGCUCUCAGGUCUGUGCGCUUUUGAAUGUUGAAGAUCAGGCUCCCCACCCCCGCCCUCCCGGAAGGGAUGUACACACUCUGGUUACACGUGCACGUGUGCUCCUGUGCACACGCCUGCACGGCCUCUGGAGGACAGGAGCCGGGCGGGCCCUUCUCACACCGUUGCUUGGGCUCGGCUCUGUGCGCUGCCUCCGUGGCUCUGCCCUCCCGCCGGAGACGGGGCCUGUAGGGAGCCGGGCUGGCCCAGGCGUCUCCCCAGGGAGCCGGUCUCGACCGUCUUCUGGGCUCCCUCCUGCCGCAGGUGAAGUGAAGCCGCCUUUGCGAGGAGGCAGCUGUCACGGGUCCGAGCUGGGAGGACCCGUAACUCCCUGGCAUUUCCCAGCAUCUGUGGGGUCGGGCAGCGCUCAGGGGCUCAGCAAGUGAUGGGGUCUCAACCCGGCCCUCCCCCGAGAGCCAGCCUCACUGUGGCCUGUCGGGCACACUUGGCUGCUUCCAGCCUCCUGGGGAGUCAGUGCAGCCGUGAGGGUCAGACCCAGAGUGGCAUCCAUUCCCCUCCCCCACUCCUGCCAUGGCCAGGGGCAGGCCUGCCUCCCGGGGCUGGGCAGAGAGGACCUGGGAUCCCUCUGCCAUCGGGGCCUCUCAUGUUGGUAGGUCCAGCUUGCCCACCAGACUCCACAGACGCCACCCCGGGGCUUUUCUGUCUGCAUGCAGGGCCUGUGCCAGCUGGUGCCCAAGGGUGGGGUGGGACACUCUGGGGGCAGGAGGGCCUCCAAGGACUUCAGAGACGGAGGAGAGAGGGGGACACGAGAGGGGAAUAGCGGAGGGAAAGAACAGAGCAGAGGCAGAGAGAGCAGGGCCGGGAGAAGGGAGACGGCAGAGCCACCAGGACCCGCGCGCAGCUGUCCCUGGGGAGACGGCCUCG
rnacentral:lncRNA from 9 species